GUUGCCCAGCUAUGCAACCCAAGAGGGGGGGUGAAUUGGGUUUCUAAAAAUUUUAAGCCCAACAAGUAACUUAUGAAGAACAAAACAAUGGCUUUAAAUCAAUAUUAAUUACCUAAAGUAGUAUUGCAAUGAUAUAAUAAAGAAAUAAUAUAAAGCGAUAAAGCACACCACAAACACAAGGAUUUAUAGUGGUUCGGUGCUAACCUUGCACCUACAUCCACUCUCCAA
rnacentral:lncRNA from 1 species